GGAGAGGUGGGUGAGUGGCUUAAACCAGUAGUUUGCUAAACUGCCGAAGACCUAAAGUUUUCCGGGGGUUCGAAUCCCCCCCUCUCCG
rnacentral:tRNA from 1 species